CAGCCGCCACGGGAAUACAGAGGGUGCGAGCGUUAAUCGGAUUUACUGGGCGUAAAGCGUGCGUAGGCGGCUUUUUAAGUCGGAUGUGAAAUCCCUGAGCUUAACUUAGGAAUUGCAUUCGAUACUGGGAAGCUAGAGUAUGGGAGAGGAUGGUAGAAUUCCAGGUGUAGCGGUGAAAUGCGUAGAGAUCUGGAGGAAUACCGAUGGCGAAGGCAGCCAUCUGGCCUAAUACUGACGCUGAGGUACGAAAGCAUGGGGAGCAAACAGGAUUAGAUACCCGCGUAGUCACUGUCUCUUAUAC
rnacentral:rRNA from 1 species